UGGGGAAUUUUGGACAAUGGGGGCAACCCUGAUCCAGCAAUGCCGCGUGUGUGAAGAAGGCCUUCGGGUUGUAAAGCACUUUUGUCCGGGAAGAAAUCGCACCUGAUAAUACCGGGUGUGGAUGACGGUACCGGAAGAAUAAGGACCGGCUAACUACGUGCCAGCAGCCGCGGUAAUACGUAGGGUCCAAGCGUUGAUCGGAAUUACUGGGCGUAAAGCGUGCGCAGGCGGUUGUGCAAGACCGAUGUGAAAUCCCCGGGCUUAACCUGGGAAUUGCAUUGGUGACUGGACGGAUAGAGUGUGUGAGAGGGGGGUAGAAUUCCACGUGGAGCAGUGAAAUGCGUAGAGAUGUGGAGGAAUACCGAUGGCGAAGGCAGCCCCCUGGGAUAACACUGACGCGCAUGCACGAAAGCGUGGGGAGCAAACAGG
rnacentral:rRNA from 1 species